GGUCUAGGUGCGGCACCCCACACAGGAAAGAAGAAAGCAAGCGUCAUUAACAUGAAUUGCCUCGCUUGCCUGAAUUUUUCUAGCACUUCUUGUUUAUUCGUAUGUUUUCUUUAGACUCAUUCCACAUAUAAAACCUGCCACGUGGAUAUUGUCACGCCAGGCAUGAGGAAUGGACUGGUGAGGAGGACUCCAGCAUACACAAAGCUCCUGUGGAGAGCCCUGCUAAUUGCCCUGUGGUCCAGACUCAGCAUCACCGUGAUUUCCUGACAGCAAUCCAGAUGGUUGCAGCCUCUACUGUAGGCAUGCCAGCCUGGGAAGGAGGGCACUGACACCUGCUCAAGGAAGAUGGCUGAGCCCAUUUAUUCUGAUUUACAAAGAUGACACAGAUUCCAGAGUGUUGGCCCUGUGGGACCACAGAGCCCAUUUCUAAACAAUAGACACUGAGGCCUCCUCAGCCAUCCACCUCCCUGCCCUCUGGCCUUGCUUGUAACAGAAAGUUAGCUGCAGCCCUUAAACUCUGUUUGCUCUCUCGUUUUAUUGCUGGCAGAAAGCAGUGCAGUUUAUCAACAUUAUCUCAUAUCGGCAGAUCCCAGACAGUGAAAUGGUAGUUGUUGGGGCCAUUAAAAGCUACUUCCACACUCUGCCUGGUGCAGAAUUUAUAGAGCCUCCCUGUUUUAGGUCCUGGAAAGUACAGAUCGUCUCAUUAUAUGAAAUGACAACCUAGCGCCUCAGAGAUAGGGCAAAUCUGAGUACUCACGGGCCUCGGGUACAACUGGGCUUUUGAGGCUUGUUAAAAAUGAUGCUGAUAAACUUUUAAGAUUUUUAUGGGAUGCAUCCUUUCCUAUGCUCAGGCUUUCAAGGGAAAAUAUACUUCAUCUCAGAAAGCUCUGGCAAAUCCUCUUCUGAGGAAAUUCGCAUUCCUUUCUUAAUCAAUUUUGCUCUUUAUACUCACCUGUAUUUCCACAGUGCAUUUCUGCGUAUGUAUGUUUUCCUCUGAGCUCCUCAGAAACGGAGGCCGAGACAGGAUUCUUGUGUACAUGGUUUAUUGAAGAAGUGCUCUGAGGAAAAUGGAAGUGAAAAUGGAAGUAGGGGGAGCAGGGUGGGGCAAAGAAAGGAGGUGAGCAAAGCAGAGGCCUCGGCUUGAUCCCACAGGGGCUAUGGAGGAUGAGUUAAAUACCCCAGAGAUGGUCGCACCGUGUUGUCAGGAAACCUUUUUGGUUUUUUUUUUUUUGCCCCUCUGUCAGUGAGUCAUAGUCUCUGAUGUGGAGGAGAGAUGUGCAGGGUUUGUUGUAACUCUCAGGCAAGGAGAAUUUAACUCAGGGAAAGGGCGAUCCAUGGUCAUCAUGAUUUGAUGAUCCAUCAUGUGGGAAUUUGUUAGACCUGUCAAUUCUCAGGGAGCUCCUCAGACCUACUGAAUCAGAAACUCUGGAAAUGGGGGCGCAGAACUCAGAGGGUCCACUAACCCUCCAGGUGACUGUGAUUCAUAAUAAUAUUUAAGAACCACUUCUUUAAGUC
ensembl:lncRNA